rnacentral:rRNA from 1 species
GACGAACGCUGGCGGCGUGCUUAACACAUGCAAGUCGAACGGAAAGGCCUGCUUUCCCUUGUGGUUUGCGGGUACUCGAGUGGCGAACGGGUGAGUAACACGUGAGUGAUCUGCCCCCAACUUGGGUAUAAGCCUGGGAAACUGGGUCUAAUUCCCGAUAGGACUGCAGGGUGGUGUCUGUGGUGGAAAACGAUCUUCUAGUGGUUGGGGAUGAGCUCGCGGCCUAUCUGCUUGUUGGUGGGGUAAUGGCCUACCAAGGCGGCGACGGGUAGCCGGCCUGGGAGGGUGGACGGCGACAUUGGGACCGGGAUACGGCCCAGACUCCUACGGGAGGCAGCAGUGGGGAAUAUUGCGCAAUGGGCGGAAGCCUGAUGCAGCGACGCCGCGUGGGGGAUGACGGCCUUCGGGUUGUAAGCUCCUUUCGACCGAGAGGAAGCCACCUGGUUGGAAGGGUGGUGACGGUAGUGGUAGAAGAAGCACCGGCUAACUACGUG